CCUCACACCAGCGAGGAGACAAAGCUGGCGCUGGGAGGGAGAAAAUGGCCCGCGAAAUUGCCUCAAGAUAGUGCCUUUGUUAGAGGAAGCGUUGGACACACUCCGAAUGCGACGUAGGCUUCCAACCUCAGCGGUUUCGGUGGUGCAGUCUUGAAUUGCGCUGGCCCUAAUAAUUCAGUCUGGCAGGGUUUGCGUUUAUUGCAGAGAGAGACUCUUAAGCAUUCCAUCAACACAUAUGGCAUAAAACGCUUCAACCAUAACAUUGCACAUUUUUGCAGUUACUGCUCUAAAUAUGUUAACAGACAAGACGGCCUUGCUUUACUGGAAAAGGAACGUAAUGGAUACGGAACAAACCAUUCCCCGCCCCCCAGUCUCUGCUGUACUUAACUGUGUACAAUGAUGGUAAUUAGUCUCUGUGUCCCCGAAGUCAUCGCUUCAAUUCUUCCGUCUGUGUUCCAGAGAUAAUUAUUUAUUACCAAGUUUGAAGAAAGAACUGUAUGCCCUACA
rnacentral:lncRNA from 1 species